rnacentral:rRNA from 1 species
GCACAAGCGGUGGAUGAUGUGGUUUAAUUCGAUGCAACGACGAAAACCUUACCACCUUUGACAUGGCAGGAAUCCCGAAGAGAUUUGGGAGUGCUACGAAAGAGAACCUGCACACAGGUGCUGCAUGGCUGUCGUCAGCUCGUGUCGUGGGAUGUUGGGUUAAGUCCCGCAACGAGCGCAACCCUUGCCAUUAGUUGCUACGAAAGGGCACUCUAAUGGGACUGCCGGUGACAAACCGGAGGAAGGUGGGGAUGACGUCAAGUCCUCAUGGCCCUUAUAGGUGGGGCUACACACGUCAUACAAUGGCCGGUACAGAGGGUAGCCAACCCGCGAGGGGGAGCCAAUCCCACAAAGCCGGUCGUAGUCCGGAUCGCAGUCUGCAACUCGACUGCGUGAAGUCGGAAUCGCUAGUAAUCGCGGAUCAGCACGUCGCGGUGAAUACGUUCCCGGGUCUU